UACAGAGGGUGCGAGCGUUUAAUCGGAAUUACUGGGCGUAAAGCGCGCGUAGGCGGCUUUGCAAGUCGAGUGUGAAAUCCCCCAGGCUUAACCUGGGAACUGCAUUCGAGACUGCAUAGCUAGAGUAUGGGAGAGGGAAGUGGAAUUUCAGGUGUAGCGGUGAAAUGCGUAGAUAUCUGAAGGAACAUCAGUGGCGAAAGCGACUUCCUGGACCAAUACUGACGCUCAUGUGCGAAAGCGUGGGGAGCAAACAGG
rnacentral:rRNA from 1 species